CCUACGGGAGACAGCAGUGAGGAAUAUUGGUCAAUGGGCGCGAGCCUGAACCAGCCAAGUCGCGUGAGGGAUGACGGCCCUACGGGUUGUAAACCUCUUUUGCCGGGGAGCAACGGGCGCCACGAGUGGCGCCACUGAGAGUACCCGGAGAAAAAGCAUCGGCUAACUCCGUGCCAGCAGCCGCGGUAAUACGGAGGAUGCGAGCGUUAUCCGUAUUUAUUGGGUUUAAAGGGUGCGUAGGCGGAUCGUUAAGUCAGGGGUAAAAUUGAGGGGCUCAACCCCUUCCCGCCAUUGAAACUGGCGCUCUUGAGUGGAAGAGAAGUAUGCGGAAUGCGGGGUGGAGCGGUGAAAUGCAUAGAUAUCACGCAGAACCCCGAUUGCGAAGGCAGCAUGCCGGCUUCCGACUGACGCUGAAGCACGAAAGCGUGGGGAUCGAACAGGAUUAGAUACCCGAGUAGUC
rnacentral:rRNA from 1 species